UUGACUGGUCACUCUUAAAGGACACACAGCUGGGUCCAGGUCCAGGUUCAGAUCCAGAUCCAGGUCCAGGUUCAGGAGACUCUGGUUUCUGCUGGGUCCUGAUAGAAAAACACAUUUAUUGAGGGUCACAUGUUCAGGUAAAGUCUCCCUGCAUAAAAUAUAAUAUUAAUAUGAAUAUGUCUGUAGGCCUAAUUAUUAACAAUUAAAUCCCAAUAAUGCUUUACUUUCUGUCCAAAACUCAAUA